rnacentral:rRNA from 1 species
UCGAACGAGGUAGCAAUACCUAGUGGCAAACGGGUGAGGAAUAUAGAGGAAUCUCCCUAGCAGUAAGGAAUAACUUUGGGAAACCAAAGCUAAUACCAUAUAUCACCCUUCGGGGGAAAGAUUUAUCGCUGUUAGAUGAGCCUCUAUCGGAUUAGCUAGUUGGUGAGGUAAUGGCUCACCAAGGCAAUGAUCCGUAGCUGGUCUGAGAGGAUGAUCAGCCACACUGGAACUGAGACACGGUCCAGACUCC